AGAGUUUGAUCCUGGCUCAGGAUGAACGCUAGCGACAGGCCUAACACAUGCAAGUCGAGGGGCAGCGGAGAGGUAGCAAUACCUCUGUCGGCGACCGGCGCACGGGUGAGUAACACGUAUGCAAUCCACCUGUAACAGGGGGAUAACCCGGAGAAAUCCGGACUAAUACCCCAUAAUAUGGGCGCUCCGCAUGGAGGGCUCAUUAAAGAAAGCAAUUUUGGUUACAGACGAGCAUGCGCUCCAUUAGCCAGUUGGCGGGGUAACGGCCCACCAAAGCGACGAUGGAUAGGGGUUCUGAGAGGAAGGUCCCCCACAUUGGAACUGAGACACGGUCCAAACUCCUACGGGAGGCAGCAGUGAGGAAUAUUGGUCAAUGGUCGGCAGACUGAACCAGCCAAGUCGCGUGAGGGAAGACGGCCCUACGGGUUGUAAACCUCUUUUGUCGGAGAGUAAAGUACGCUACGUGUAGCGUAUUGCAAGUAUCCGAAGAAAAAGCAUCGGCUAACUCCGUGCCAGCAGCCGCGGUAAUACGGAGGAUGCGAGCGUUAUCCGGAUUUAUUGGGUUUAAAGGGUGCGUAGGCGGCACGCCAAGUCAGCGGUGAAAUUUCCGGGCUCAACCCGGAGUGUGCCGUUGAAACUGGCGAGCUAGAGUACACAAGAGGCAGGCGGAAUGCGUGGUGUAGCGGUGAAAUGCAUAGAUAUCACGCAGAACCCCGAUUGCGAAGGCAGCCUGCUAGGGUGAAACAGACGCUGAGGCACGAAAGCGUGGGUAUCGAACAGGAUUAGAUACCCUGGUAGUCCACGCAGUAAACGAUGAAUACUAACUGUUUGCGAUACAAUGUAAGCGGUACAGCGAAAGCGUUAAGUAUUCCACCUGGGGAGUACGCCGGCAACGGUGAAACUCAA
rnacentral:rRNA from 1 species